GUAGAUAAUGAUAUUUACGUUAACAGCAGUAACGAAACCACAACUGAAAAUAAUUUUCGUGAAUCAGGGUAUGAAGACGUUGAUACUUCAACAACAUAUGACAGGCUUGAACAAUCAUCAACUGAACCAGACGCUGGUAGCAGUUAUGCAGCUGUGAAUUCAUCUGUAUUGUAUGAUCACAUUGACACAACCCAAGUAAAGAUUGAGCCGAAAUAUGAAAGUUUUGUAAUGGAUCAAACAGGAAGUUAUCAAAAUUUAGGAUGAAAGUCUUUUAUACAAUAAUAUAAACCUCUUAGUUUUAUACACAAUUGAAAGGUAUUUAGUAUAUACCAGCUCGCUUAAGAUUAGAUAAAUGAUAAGAUGACACUAAUUUUAUAAACGUGAAGACGGUUUAGUGUUGAAAAGAACAUUUUGAAAACGACGUAUUGUGGCACAUAAGACUUUAUUGCUUGAUAG